rnacentral:rRNA from 1 species
GUAGCAAAUACUUUGGUGGCGACCGGCGCACGGGUGAGUAACGCGUAUGCAACCCAUCUAUCAGAGGGGAAUAACCCGGCGAAAGUCGGACUAAUACCGCAUAAAACAGGGACACCGCAUGGUGAUAUUUGUUAAAGAAAUUCGCUGAUAGAUGGGCAUGCGUUCCAUUAGGUAGUUGGUGAGGUAACGGCUCACCAAGCCGACGAUGGAUAGGGGAACUGAGAGGUUGGUCCCCCACACUGGUACUGAGACACGGACCAGACUCCUACGGGAGGCAGCAGUGAGGAAUAUUGGUCAAUGGGCGAGAGCCUGAACCAGCCAAGUCGCGUGAAGGAAGAAGGAUCUAUGGUUCGUAAACUUCUUUUGCAGGGGAAUAAAGUGCAGGACGUGUCCUGUUUUGUAUGUACCCUGAGAAUAAGGAUCGGCUAACUCCGUGCCAGCAGCCGCGGUAAUACGGAGGAUCCGAGCGUUAUCCGGAUUUAUUGGGUUUAAAGGGUGCGUAGGUGGUUUGAUAAGUCAGCGGUGAAAGUUUGCAGCUUAACUGUAAAAAUGCCGUUGAAACUGUCGGACUUGAGUGUAAAUGAGGUAGGCGGAAUGCGUGGUGUAGCGGUGAAAUGCUUAGAUAUCACGAAGAACUCCGAUUG